AUGAUCCAUGUUAUUAUGCUUAUGGCCUAUGCCUAUGGACAAGCAAGCAAGAGAUACUGCGUUAUUUACGCUAGUUUGAAAAAAGCUGUUAGAGGAAAACAAGGGAUGCAUGAAAAAAGAAAGUUGAAUGAGGAAAAACAUUGAGACACAAUAUGCAAUGCAAACAAUAAACAGAGUUUAAUCCCCUUGGCAUUCUCCCUUUUUCAGUUUUUCUACUCAAUAUCUCAUUUUUUGGAUCUUUCUUACAAUACAAAAUCUUGAUUAUUAUUGAUGUGAUCCGAAAAUAUUGAUAUAGUCAAAUUUUCAUUGUUUCUCGUAAACAUCAAGAAAAUCCCAAAUUUAUUAUUCUUUCCAUUCAAUUUGAAUAUGCAUUCAAUAUUGUUAUAAAAAGGAAUUCAAUACAAAAAAAUUCAAUCUUUGUAGAAAUGGGUGGUUGUUUCAGCAAAAACAAAUAUAUAGAGCGAGAUGGUAAAGGUAAUAGGCCAAGAACAAGAAGAGGGAACACUCCUGCAUCAUAUCAACAUUACAAACAUCCAGUUUAUUAUCAUCCAAGACCAACCCAAGAGAGGCCUUAUAUGCCCCAACAUCCACAACAACAACAACAAAGACAUGCACACCAAGUUACUGUAAAAAGUACUCAACCAAAUGUUCCAGUAAUACAAAGAAUAGAACAAGAUCCUAUUUUGGGUAAGCCAUAUGAAAACAUUAAAGCACAUUACACACUUGGGAGAGAAUUGGGUAGGGGUCAAUAUGGAGUGAUUUAUCUUUGUACUGAGAAUUCUACUAGGCGGAAUUAUGCUUGCAAGUCUAUAUUGAAGAGGAAGCUUGUGAAUAGGAAAGACAGAGAGGAUAUUAAGAGGGAGAUUCAAAUGAUGCAGCAUUUGAGUGGACAACCAAAUAUUGUCGAAUUCAAAGGUGCUUAUGAAGACCAGUAUUCGGUGCACCUUGUGAUGGAACUUUGUGCUGGAGGGGAAUUGUUUGAUAGAAUUAUUGCCAGGGGAUAUUACUCUGAAAAAGAUGCUGCUGAUAUUAUCAGACAGAUAGUGAAUGUGGUCUAUAUUUGUCAUUUUAUGGGUGUUAUGCAUAGAGAUCUCAAACCAGAGAAUUUCUUAUUGACUAGUAAGGAUGAACAUACAAUGAUCAAGGCUACUGAUUUUGGGCUUUCUGUUUUCAUUGAAGAAGGUAAGGUGUACCGCGAUAUAGUUGGUAGUGCAUACUAUGUAGCUCCUGAAGUAUUGAGGCGCAGUUAUGGAAAGGAAGCGGAUGUAUGGAGUGCAGGUGUUAUUUUGUAUAUUCUGCUUAGUGGUGUACCUCCAUUUUGGGAUGAAACUGAAAAGGGAAUAUUCCAUGCUAUACUACAAGGAGAAAUUGACUUUCAUAGUGAUCCGUGGCCAUCCAUAUCAAAUAGUGCCAAGGAUCUUGUUCGGAAAAUGCUAACACAGGAUGCGAAAAGCAGAAUCACAUCAGCAGAAGUUCUUGAACAUCCAUGGCUUCAAAGUGGAGAAGCAUCAGACAAGCCAAUAGAUAGUGCAGUGCUGUCCAGAAUGAAGCAGUUCAGGGCAAUGAACAAGCUCAAGAAACUAGCACUGAAGGUCAUUGCAGAAAAUUUAUCUGAAGAAGAAAUUAAAGGUUUGAAAGCUAUGUUUGCAAACAUGGAUACAGACAAUAGUGGGACAAUCACUUACGAAGAACUAAAAUCGGGAUUGGCCCGCCUUGGAUCAAAGCUUUCAGAGGCUGAAGUUAAGCAACUUAUGGAAGCUGCUGAUGUGGAUGGAAAUGGAACGAUUGACUACAUUGAGUUUGUUACUGCAACAAUGCAUAGACAUCGGCUUGAAAGGGAUGACGAUCUAUUCAAAGCUUUUCAGUAUUUUGACACAGACCAUAGCGGCUUCAUAACAAAAGACGAACUGGAAAGUGCUAUGAAGGAGUAUGGUAUGGGCGAUGAGGACACCAUCAGGGAAAUUAUAGUAGAGGUGGACACAGACCAUGACGGCAGGAUCAAUUAUGAGGAGUUCUGUGCGAUGAUGAGGAGCGGAACACAGCCCCAAGAUAAACUUUUUUAGUUCCUUGAAACAGUAACCUUGCAAGCAGAGCUGUUCAGCAGCCAGCACGAUGUAGAGAGCUGGGCUGCGAGAAGAGAAGAUUCAGAAAAAGCGGAAGAGCUGCUCAAGGUCCUGGAAAUUUAAAAUGAACAUGUGAAGGGGAUGAAAAGUGUAUGUCGACCAACGAACUUAAUUAUUGUAAGUAGAUUAGCUUAGUUAUUCAACUUCUGUAUAGUUGACUAGUUUGCAUUCAGCAUACCAUUCUAUUUCUGUUGUCAACCAUGGAAUGGGUGCUUUUCAUAGCCACUAUACCAAAUAACCAGUUAUUUUGUAAACUGCUUCUGUUAAGCCUUUUACUGAACCUAAAACUACUGAUGUUCACAGAAGCAACAACUCCUGAACGCCCAAAAGGAGAAAGUAAAAAGUACUUUUGCUAGCUUUACCUUAUUCUUUUCCUCAUUGCAUCAACCCUCGGUAAGUUGAAAUGAGAAGAAAUAAUAUCAGCAUGCAUUUUCAUUCUAAACUUUUUUCGACUUCUGUUUGAGAAAUGAUUAUCCAUUUUAAGAUCAAAACUUCUAAGGUGGUCAAAAGAUUAAAGGGGAUGUUUAGGUGAUCAAAGAGUUAGAGUAACAACUCAUAAAAGCAUAGAUUGAAGCCUUUUGUGUCAGCUCAAGAUAUAGACGGAUGGGUUGAUGACCUUUCUGAAUAUUUGGUGUUCUGGUCUUAUGACGUUAUCAACCUAUAAAUGACUUAUGAGUGUAUUGGUGCAUAUUUGUAUGCCUCUUGAACUUAGAACUUGCUCAAUA